rnacentral:ribozyme from 1 species
UGCUCAGUAACUCCUAUCCCUACCUCCUGGUGGUACCGGCCGGGAACUAUGAGCAACCUUAGGGAAGAUCGGGUCACCAAUCCCGGUGGGAACUUUGGUCAUAGGCUUAGGCUAACAGGGAAGG